GCUGGAUGUAGUGGUGCACAUCUGUAAUCCCAGCUACUUGGGGAGGCUGAGGCAGGAGGAUCAUAAGUUCAAGGCCAGCCUCGG
rnacentral:sRNA from 1 species